UCUCCCAAGUGCACAAUUGUAGCUUUUGUCUCUUCACCUGACUGCACUCAAAACCCUCUUCCUGGACAAGGAGAUUUAGUUCCCUCUCCUCUCUUUGACUUCCUCUGCACCGAAGAAUACCCUUCCGUCUCCAUUAACGGAGCCGCAUUAACCCUCUUUACCUCUCUCUACGAUCAUCUCUCUGGACUAAUAGAUGAGGUCAAAAUCUGAUACUUGUUUUAAUUUACGUUAACUUUUCGUUAACAAUUGUGAGACACGAAACAGCUUGACCAUGAGAUCUCCCUCAUGGAGUCAAAACCCGUGUUGGUAUCUGUUUUUAGAUCAACUUAUAUAUAUAUAUAUAUAUAUAUAUAUAUAUCUUGUGGAUAAAAGGAAAGUUUACAAGUGAGAAUAGUGGCAUUUUUCUGACAGAUUUCACACCGUUGCUUGUUUUGCAGUUGACUGUGAUUGAAGGUCGAUUAAUCAUCACUGGGCACUCGAUGGGAGGAUCCGUUGCUUCUCUCUUCACCUUAUGCCUGCUAGAAGUCAUUAAUAUAUCAAAACCCAAAUGCCGCCCCAUUUGCAUCACCUUUGGUUCACCCCUCAUAGGCGACUUUGGCCUCCAACACUCCAAUUGGAAUUCUUUCUUCUUGCAUGUAGUGUCCAACCAAGAUCUAGUCCCCGGACUCUUCCUCCCAUCCGGCAGAUCUCCUCCCACAUCCUCCCAUUCACAAACUACUGGUUACAAGCCCUUUGGGACAUAUCUCUUGUGCUCUGAACUUGGUUGUGCUUGUUUUGACAACCCUGAUUUAAUUUUGGAAUUGCUGAAAGUCAUAUCAUCAGAGGUUGCCGGAGGAUUGCGGGAUGUUGAUUACAGGAAGAUUUUAAUAAACCUCAAGGAGAGGGCAAUCUUCAAGGGACUUCAGCAGGUGGGUGAAAGGUUUGCAGAUCCCUUGUCAGCUGGGAUCGUCAUGGACCUUGAGAUAAUUGGAUUUGAUCAAACAAAGGUAAACAGCUUUCUCCCAAUUAAUGAUGUAGUAUGGUUUACACUCAACUUCACCAAAACCUGCAACAACUGCCCUAUUUAGAUUUGCCUUCCUGUUCUUUGGGUUCUUCUAUAACUUCUCAUUUUUUAAAUUCAUGGCAGCUGUUGCGGCACAACAUUGAUAUCAACACUGUGAUAAGGAUACUGGGAGUGGAAGCCAGAAUCCUAGCCCACAAAAAUAAAGCUUCUGAUGCCAAGAAACUGAAUGACAUAAAAAUACACAUGGCCCAGCUAGAAUGGUAUAAGAAGAAAUCAAAAGAUCUGAACAAGGGUUACUACGACUGCUUCAAAAACCAGGGGUCAAAAAGGGACAUUAAAAUUGAACAGUAUAGGGGACACCUCACAAUAUACUGGAAAGACAUGGUUGCACAAGUACAGAGGAAGCCCCAGAAGGAAGGAGCAUCAUUUCGAACCAGUUGGCUCUAUCCAGGGACAACUUAUAGAAGAAUGGUUGAACCACUGGACAUUGCUGCCUUCUACAGAGAGGGUAGAACAGACUACAUAAACAAUGGAAGAUCUCCUCAUUACAAGCUGUUGCAGCAAUGGUAUGAGGAAGAUGUGAAGCCCCCAUCCAGAGAUAAGCUCGAUUCCAAGAAACUAAAGGUGUCUGGUAUCCUAACUGAGGAUUCUUUGUUUUGGGCACAUGUGGAGGAGGCUCUCUUGUCAUGCGAAUCGCUCAAGAGUGCAAACUCUACUCUUGAGCAGAGAAAAUCAUCAUGGGAUAAUCUGGUUAAGUUUGGGGAGUAUGUAAUGGAACAGAUUGGAAACUAUGCAGUGUCCCCUGAGAUUUUCUUGGGGGAAAGCAGCUUCAUGAAAUGGUGGGGAGUGUAUGAGGACUACAUAGAUGCUUCCAAUAAUUCCUAUGGGUCACCAUUGAUCAGCUUUAUGAAGAACCGUAGUUAUAGACUGUAUGGUUAGAGGGCAAUCCAGUUUGUGUAUUGUGUUUAUUGUAUUGUGAGCAUUCAAUAGAUAAAACUAGAAAGAGCGUGACCUUUUUAUGACAACUUUAGAAACCAGGGGUUAAAAGAGACAUUACAAACUGAAGUUUUUGAGAGGAAACCUCAAGAGUAUACUGGGAAGCCAUGGUGGAACAAGUAGAGAGGAAGCCUCAGAAGGAAGGAGCAAUGGUUGAACCACUUGACAUUGUUGCCUACUACAGGGAGGGUGUAAGAAACAACAUAACCGAGGGAAGAUCUGAACGUUAAACGUUGUCCAAUUAUUAUAAAUGUCUUAUACAUUACGUGUGAAAAUACCAAAAAAAAUUAUAUUCAACAUUUAUGUUUGUAUACAAGCAAUAUUUUGGAUAGUUUGAUAUAAAAAACAAAUGAAGAAAAUGAAGAAAAACAUACAAAUAUAUUUACAAUGGACAAACUUAUACAAUUAGUAUAAAUGUCUUGUAUAUUUAGUACAAAUGUCUCGUACUUUGUAAAAAUAUAAAAAUAUAGUAUUUGACUUUUAUAUAUGUGUGAAAAUGUAAAAAGAAAAAGAAAAAUAGUUAGAGCAUUUGGUACCGUGAGUGAUGACUUCACCUAAAGAAAGGUUAAUGAAUAUUAUGGUCUCGAUGGAAGAGCGACUCCGGUAAAAUAUAUGGAUUAAAUUGAUGCUUUUCUUUUGACGAUGAAGUAGUUGAGUUAUGAAUACGAGGUUUUGCUAACAGCAUUGAAGGCAAGGAUUCCCUAAUAUACUCCAAUUCAUAUUCAAUUUGUAGACCUUCAACUAACUACUCUUGCUAACGAGCAUAUCCAAGUCAAUACAUAAGAUUAAUUAAGAUUAAGUAUUACGUAUGAUAAUUGAAACCCUAUUUAAAUAAAUAAUGACACAUAUAUAAAAAAUAUAUAUAUUUUUAAAAAAAUAAAUAACAAUUUAGAGAAUUUCAUAACUUAGCAUCAAACCUAUUGUAAGAAAGAGUAUUAUACAAUGUAGGGUUUAGGAUCCAAGUCAACCUAAGAUCAAAUUUAAGUUUUAAGAUCAAUUCACAUUCAAAACUAAGGUUUUAAGUUUCAAAAAUAUAUUUCUUAAACCAAUUAAAUGGAAAAAAGAAAAUUACAAAGAAAAUUUCUCCCUCAUCAGUUUCUUUUAUCUUGAAAACUAAAGGAAAUAUAUAUCAAUAUUUGAGAUGGAAAUUCAUAAUCUUAGGUGGUGUUUGUUUUUUUGGCUUUUUGCUGAAAACUAUUUAGUUUUAGAAUUUAGGUUUUUUUUUUUUUUUACUUUUUCAUGACUUAUAAUAAACUUUUUACUAAAUAGAAAAAACCAAAAUAUGUGGUUUUUUCUAAAUAGAAAAAAUAACACAAUGGUUUUUUUUACUUUUUAAUACUUAAUAGAAAUAAAAUACUACAAAAACAAACAUCUUAAUAUUUAAUACUAUUAAGUAUUAAGGUUCUAUUUAGAAUUAAGUAAAAAAACAAACACCACCUUAGAAACACAAAGAACAAAGAGAGUAUGAAGAGACCAUACCAUGAGAGAUUUUCCGAAAGGUUGGUAAACCAUGGUAAUCACCUUUGAGUCUUGCUGAGAAAAACAAACCUUAUUUAUUUUUAUUUUUUUAUCAUUUUUUCUCUUGUGUGGUGUACAUUUAAGAAAAACAAAUCUCAAAAAAAAAAAAAAACACAAACCAAAUAAUGCCAGAAUUUGGGUUGAGAAACACCCAAAAGAUAGUGGCCCAAUACAUGUGCCUAAGAAAAUCUUCAUGAGCCGAUAAACAUAGUCACAAAACUAGUAACAGCCUUGUAGCCAUAGUUGGUGUAGUAUGAGCAAGUGGGGUAUGAAGUAGGUAGGUGAGUAUUGCAAUGAAAUUUCCAGCACUGCUUCCUGAAUUAAGAAAUCACAUACCCAAGUCUUAGUCGUCGUCGUCGUCGUACCGUGUGAGAACCGGGAAGAAUCUUUGCUCGUAGACUGGCUUUUGUAGUCUUUCUUUAACAAUUACAAGUUAUCUGAAUUCCCUUCAUCCUCCUAUAUAAUAUUGUUUUGGUCUUGUUCUUGUUGCAUUGUGGCUAGGCAUCUCCAUGGAAGGAAGGAGGAUGAAUCAAGUUCCUUUGUAUGAAUCAAUUUCUCUGCUCUUUUUUUUUUUCAAUCCUUGAAUCGAAUCAUUGCUUAGUUCUUGCUUUAAUUUCUCCAUUUUCUGUUGGGUCUUUGAUUGCAGGUUUAGCUCUGCAAGAGAACUGGGAAAUUUAAUUGUGACCUCCAAUCUAAUCGACUCUGCUUUGACUAAAAUUCUUGAGCUUCAAAGAGACCAAACAGCCUUGCUUUCCCCCGUUCAAUACAGAGUUUUUUUAUCCAUCUCCCAACUGCACAAUUGUAGCUUUUGUCUCUUCACCUGACUGCACUCAAAACCCUCUUCCUGGACAAGGAGAUUUAGUUCCCUCUCCUCUCUUUGACUUCCUCUGCACCGAAGAAUACAAGUCCGUCUCCAUUAACAGAGCUGCAUUAACCCUCUUUACCUCUCUCCACGAUCAUCUCUCUGGACUAAAAACUCAGGUCAAAAUAUGAUAGUUGUUUUUAUUUUCGUUUCCUUUUUGUUAACAAUUGUGAGACAUGAAACAGCUUGACCAUGAGAUCUCUCUCAUAGAGUCAAACUACCUGAAGAAGAAGAAGACGUUACACAUAUCCAUCUGCGUUGCAUCAUCGCAUUACCCAUUGAUCGGUUGUGAUUCAACUCUUAAUAGGAAGACAGUAGAACUGGUGUUGGUAUCUGUUUUUAGAUCAGCUUAUAUGUAUCUUGUUGCUAAAAAGGGAAUGUUUAGAAGUGAGAUUAAUGGGAUUAUUCUGACAUGGAUUUCAUAUGGUUACCUGUUUUGCAGUUGACUGUGAUUGAAGGUCAAUUAAUCAUCACUGGGCACUCCCUGGGAGGAGCCGUUGCUUCUCUCUUCACCUUAUGCCUGCUAGAUGAAAAUUUAUUAAAACCCAAAUGCCGCCCCUUUUGUAUCACCUUUGGUUCACCCCUCGUCGGCGGCUUUGGCCUCCAACACUCCAUAUGGAAUUCUUUCUUCCUGCAUGUAGUGUCUAACCAAGACCCAGUCCCCGGUCUCUUCCUCCCAUCUGGCAGAGGCAGAUCUACGCCCACAUCCUCCCAUUCACAAACUACCGGUUACAAGCCCUUUGGGACAUAUCUCUUGUGCUCUGAACUUGGUUGUGCUUGUUUUGACAACCCUGAUUUAAUUUUGGAAUUGCUGAAAGUCAUAUCAUCAGAGGUUGCCGGAGGAUUGCAGGAUGUUGAUUAUGGGGAGAUUUUAAGAAACCUCAAGGAGAGGGCAAUCUGCAAGGGACUUCCGCAGGUGGGUGAAAGGUUUGCAAAUCCAUUUUCAGCUGGGAUCAUCAUGGAACUUGAGACAAUUGGAUUUAAUCAAACAAAGGUAAACAGCUUUCUCCCAUCUAAUGAUGUUAUGGAACAUGGUUUACACCUCAUUAAAUACUGCAACAACUGCCCUAUUUAGAUUUACCUUCUUGUUCUUUGGGAUUUUCCAUAACUAGACUCAUUUUUUAAUUUCAUGGCAGCUGCUGCAGCAUAACAUUGAUAUCGAGACUGUGAUAAGCGCAAUGGAAGCGGAAGCAAGAAACCUAACCCAGAAAAAUAAAGCUUCCGAUGCCAAGAAACUGAAUGAAAUAAAAAUAGACAUGACCCGGCUAGAAUUGUAUAAGAAGAAUUCGAACAUGGGUUACUACGAUUGCUUCAAAAACCAGGGGUCUAAAAGGGACAUCCACGUUGAACAGUUUAGGGUAAACCUCACAGGGUACUGGGAAGGCAUGGUUGCACAAAUACAGAGGAAGCCUCAUAAGGAAGGAGCAACAUUUCGAACCCGUUGGCUCUAUGCAGGGACGGUUUAUAGAAGAAUGGUUGAACCACUGGACAUUGCUGCCUUCUACAGAGAGGGUAGAAAAGACUACAUGAAUAAAAGAUCUGCACAUUACAAGCUGUUGCAGGAAUGGUAUGAGGAAGAUGUGAAACCCCCCUCUAGAGAUAAGCUUGAUUCCAAGAAGCAAAAGGUGUCCAGUAUCCUAACUGAGGAUUCUUGCUUUUGGGCACAUGUGGAGGAGGCUAUCUUGUCAUGCGAAUUGCUCAAGAGUGAAAACUGUAAUCUUGAGGAGGGAAAAUCAUCAUGGGAUAAUCUGGUUAAGUUCGAGGAGUAUGUAAUGGAACAGAUUGACAACUAUGCAGUGUCCCCUGAGAUUUUCUUGGAGAAAAGCAGCUUCAUGAAAUGGAGGGGACUGUAUGAGGGCUACAUAGAUACUCGCAGUAAUUCCCAUAGCUCGCCAUUGAUCAGCUUUAUGAAGAAUCGUAGUUAUAGACAAUAUGGAUAGAGGGGUAAUCCAGUUUGUGUGUUGUGUGUAUUGUUUUGUGAGCAUUCAAUGGAUAGAACUAGAAAGAGUGUGACCUUUUCCUUUUUUUUUUCAGUUGCUGCCCAUAUUCUCAGCACUAUUUUCUUCCUUCUUUUCCUCAGUUUUUUUGUUAAGAAAUGAAUAUUAUGAUGUUGCCGGGAUGCACUUUCAUUUUUGUUCCAUUACAUUGUGUUUUAUUCAUAUCCUAAACAAAUAAAUGUAAACAAGAAAAUCAAAUGAGACUUCAAAGAGUCUGUUCCUUUUAAAGCAAGGGAAAAAAAGGACAUGUUUGUUUACUUCCACAGCUGGGUAGAUUCAACUCCACCAAAAUUGGCAACAACUUCCCAUUGAAAAAUUCCUUUUAAGCUUGAAUGACAUAAAACUAGAUAUGUUCCAGCUAGAAUGGUACAAGAAAGAAAUCAAAAGAUGAGCACAAUGGGUUAUUAUGACAGCUUUAGAAACCUGGGGUGUAAAAGAGACAUUAAAAUGGAACCGAGGGGAAGACAUUGUAGAACAAGUAAAGAGGAAGCCUCACCAGGAAGGGCAGCUUUGCAAACCCUCUGGCUCUGUACAGGAACGAAUUAUAGAAAGAUGGUUGAACCACUUGACAUUGCUGCCUACCACAGAGAGGGUGGAAGAAACUACAUAACCAAUGGAGGAUGUAAACAUUACACGCUAUUAGAGCAAUGAUGCAAUGAAGAGAAGGGGACUUUGUCUUCCAAUAAUUUAAGAAAAUAAAACCAAAUAAUGCCAGAAUUUGGGUUGAGAAACACCCAAAAGAUAGUGGCCCAAUAUGAAGUAGUCACAAAACUAGUAACAGCCUUGUGGCCAUAGUUGGUGUAGUAUGAGCAAGUGGGGUAUGAAGUAGGUAGGUGAGUAUUGCAAUGAAAUUUCCAGCACUGCUUCCUGAAUUAAGAAAUCACAUACUCAAGUCUUAAUCGUUGUCAUCAUACCGUGUGAGAACCGAGGAAGAAUCUUUGCUCUUAGACUGGAUUUUGUAGUCUUUCUUUAACAAUUACAAGUUAUCUGAAUUCCCUUCAUCCUCCUAUAUAAUAUUGUUUUUGGUCUUGUUCUUGUUGCAUUGUGGCUAGGCAUCUCCAUGGGAGGAAGGAGGAUGAAUCAAGUUCCUUUGUAUGAAUCAAUUUCUCUGCUCUUUUUUUUUUCAAUCCUUGAAUCGAAUCAUUGCUUAGUUCUUGCUUUAAUUUCUCCAUUUUCUGUUGGGUCUUUGAUUGCAGGUUUAGCUCUGCAAGAAAACUGGGAAAUUUAAUUGUGACCUCCAAUCUAAUCGACUCUGCUUUGACUAAAAUUCUUGAGCUUCAAAGAGACCAAACAGCCUUGCCUUCCCCCGUUCAAUACAGAGUUUUUUAUCCAUCUCCCAACUGCACAAUUGUAGCUUUUGUCUCUUCACCUGACUGCACUCAAAACCCUCUUCCUGGACAAGGAGAUUUAGUUCCCUCUCCUCUCUUUGACUUCCUCUGCACCGAAGAAUACAAGUCCGUCUCCAUUAACAGAGCUGCAUUAACCCUCUUUACCUCUCUCCACGAUCAUCUCUCUGGACUAAAAACUCAGGUCAAAAUAUGAUAGUUGUUUUUAUUUUCGUUUCCUUUUUGUUAACAAUUGGGAGACAUGAAACAGCUUGACCAUGAGAUCUCUCUCAUAGAGUCAAACUACCUGAAGAAGAAGAAGACGUUACACAUAUCCAUCUGCGCUGCAUCAUCGCAUUACCCAUUGAUCGGUUGUGAUUCAACUCUUAAUAGGAAGACAGUAGAACUGGUGUUGGUAUCUGUUUUUAGAUCAGCUUAUAUGUAUCUUGUUGCUAAAAAGGGAAUGUUUAGAAGUGAGAUUAAUGGGAUUAUUCUGACAUGGAUUUCAUAUGGUUACCUGUUUUGCAGUUGACUGUGAUUGAAGGUCGAUUAAUCAUUACUGGGUACUCGAUGGGAGGAUCCGUUGCUUCUCUCUUCACCUUAUGCCUGUUAGAAGUCAUCAAUUUAUCAAAACCCAAAUGCCGCCCCAUUUGUAUCACCUUUGGUUCACCCCUCAUAGGCGACUUUGGCCUCCAACACUCCAAUUGGAAUUCUUUCUUCUUGCAUGUAGUGUCCAACCAAGAUCUAGUCCCCGGACUCUUCCUCCCAUCCGACAGAUCUCCUCCCACAUCCUCCCAUUCACAAACUACUGGUUACAAGCCCUUUGGGACAUAUCUCUUGUGCUCUGAACUUGGUUGUGCUUGUUUUGACAACUCUGAUUUAAUUUUGGAAUUGCUGAAAGUCAUAUCAUCAGAGGUUGCCAGAGGAUUGCGGGAUGUUGAUUACAGGAAGAUUUUAAGAAACCUCAAGGAGAGGGCAAUCUGCAAGGGACUUCCGCAGGUGGGUGAAAGGUUUGCAAAUCCAUUUUCAGCUGGGAUCAUCAUGGAACUUGAGACGAUUGGAUUUAAUGAAACAAAGGUAAACAGCUUUCUCCCAUCUACUGAUGUUAUGGAACAUGGUUUACACAUCAUUAAAUACUGCAACAACUGCCCUAUUUAGAUUUAGGGCAAUGAUGAAAAUAUCAGUAAUCACGGAUAUAUCAGUAUUUCGAUUUUACGGAUAUAUCGGAUAUAUCGGAGAUAUAUCGGUAGAUAUUUUGAAAAAAAAUAUCGGCAAGCUUAAAAUUGUUAAAAACUCAUGAAAAUAUAAGAAAAUCUCAUAAUAAUAUAAUUAAAAGUAUAAUAGACAUUUUAAAGUUAUUUUAUUGAAAAUUUUGAUAUAUGUAUAACAUGAUUUAUCAUAUUUGAUAAUAAUAUCGUAUGCGUCGAUAAAAAUAUGAAUUUUAUAAGUGUACAUUUAUUAUUAAAUUACACCUAAUAUUAUGAUAUCUGAUUAUAAUAUGUCUAAUUUUAAAAUAUAUAUUAGUAUUAAAAUAUGAUCCAUUUAAUUCAAUUGUAUUAAACAAUAUAAAAUAAAUAAUGAUAUAUAUAUAUAUAUAUAUAAUUUUUUAAUAUUUAAUUAAUUAUUAAUGAUAUUAAAAACAUUAUGAAGAAAAUUAUAUAAUUUUUUAAUUUUUGGUAAUUAAUUAAAAGACUUUGCAUUUAAUUAUAAAUUAAUUAUAAUUAAUUUACUCUUUAAAAUAUUCUUAUAUUUUCUUUAUAUAAUGAAUUUAAGUAUAUAUAUAGUUGUUGCAUAUUAUAUAUUAAAGGACAACUUAGCCCAAGUGGUAAGCGAGUGAACCCCAAUGUGAGGCAUUGUAGCACGUGCACUGUAGCAUCACUGUAGCGACUCUGACUUUCGUUGACCCGCAUUGACUACACGAUAUAUCGGAGAAAAAUCACUGAUUUAUCGCCAAAUCACCAAUAAAUCGCCGAUUUCUCGCGAUAAAUACCAAAAUAUAGUGUCGAAACCCUUCGAUACACGAUUUUUCGGCGCAUUUUCUUACUUGGAUUUACCUUUUUGUUCUUUGGGAUCUUCCAUGACUCAUUUUUUAAUGCCAUUUUAUUUUCCUUUUUGUUUCUAAAUUUUUAAAAAAUCGUUUUCACUUCUUUUUUUUAAGAAAAUUUUGGCAAAUUUUGAAAAUAUAAUAUUAGUGUUUUCACUUCUUUCUUUUUUUUUUUUUUCUUUUUUUUUUUAAACUCAAUUUUCUAAAAAAUGAAAAUAGAAAAACAUUGUCUAAACAUGUUUGUAAACUUAAUUUUAUUUUUUUAUAAAUGAAAAAAAAAAUCUAAAUGAGUAAGGCUUUAUUAAUUUUAAUUUUUUUCUUUUCCUUAUAUUUUCUUAUUUUAUUCCAAAUUUUCUUGCAACCAAACAUAAUCUAAAUGUUUACAACUUUUAUUGUAAGGAAUGAAUGACACUACUUUGUGAACUUUUAUGAUAAUAUUUUGAAUCAUAAAUUGUGUUUUUUUUAGUAAUAUCAAUUUUAUUACCAAUGACUUAAUUGUUAAUAACAAAAUAUAAUAUUUAUAAAUAUUUUUAUUCUCAACAGGCUACAAUUUUUACUCUUGUGAUAAAAAAAAUUUUGUCAUAAAUUACACAUUAUGAUGAGUUUUUCUAUUUUCCUUAUCAGCCAAUUCAACAAAUAUCAUAUAUAUUGUAAUGGCUAACAAAUUUUCACAUAAAUUUUUUAUAAGAUAAAGUAGAAUGGAAUUAUUCAAUUUCAAAAAAAAAAAAAAUGGUACCUAAUGAAAAAGAUAAAAUAUAUAGAUCAUCUCGAAGAAAUCAGGAAAGAUAAAUGAUGAGACCAUAUAUAGGACCCUUGAUGGAGACUAUUUUAAUUGAAGUGGUGUGCUCCUUCCGACUCAGAACAUGUUCAGCAUUGCACACAAACUAACAUCGUCGAUCUUGAGUAUGAAAAAGGUGAUUAGAUUCCAAGGUUGUCGUUUGUCCCAACUCCUCAUAUUAGAGGUGAUGCUCAAGCUAACGUGCCUCGCAGUUGAGCCCCGGCCAAUCGGUCUAAUAUGCUUUUCCAAUGGUGAGUUUCACUGCCACCAUGUAUUACAUUAAUUCCGAUAGCGCACAAGUUGUGUUUGUGCUAUUGCUUUUUGCCCUCACAAACAUAUACACAAGAGACAUUCAGACCAGAUCUGUUCUACCAUCCUCUAGGAAAGCAUUGUAGGUCAUUUGAAAUUGGGAUUUCAGCACCAGAGUCAAAUUGCCUUCCUUCCUGAAAGAUGAGCAUUUUUUAUACUCUUACAUCGGCUUUUAUGGAAAUGAAAUCAGCUUCUCAUUCUGUUACAUUUUUCAAUUUUGCUGCCUAUAACUGCUCACUGCCUGUUUGUGAGACAUUAUCCAGAUUUUCCCUGAUCAAUUAUAGAGAGGUCAUUGGACUCAUCCAUGAUUGGAAUUUCCUGUUAUCAUUAUUUGCAAAUCAUCAACCAUUUGUCAUGAUAUCUUAAGUUAAGCUGAGCACGAAUUUCAGCUAAGAUCCUCAGAACUAGAAAUAUGCACUGCAGGUAUUACUUGAUAUGUGAAUAUCCAAUACAAUAUUUUUUUACUAAGAGGAAUACGAAUUUGAAACACUUUCCAAUAAUUUAUCAAGUCAUAUUUUCGUGCUGUCGUGAUACAUGUGUCUACUGUAUGCAUGGCUUUUCUUUUCUACACAUGCCUUUAUCUUUGCACAUGACUCUUUUGAUACACGCCAGCAUCAAGGCAAUUGCCUAAAUCUAAAUCACAUCCUUUGUGUCACGUCUUCCUUGUUACCACGGUCCUCUUGUACACCAUGGUCCCUUAAUGUAACUUGUGCCACAAGCCCUUUGUGCAUGAAUUCAAAUUGUUCAAUCAUUUCGCCAUUUACACCUUUUAAGGUCCAAUAAGCGUAUACAAGAGACUACACUCAUUCUAGAUGAUAAAGUACAUUCAACUAACUACUCUUGCUAAUGAGCAUAUCCAAGUCAAUACAUAAGAUUAAUUAUUACAUAUGGUAAUUGAAACCCUGUUUAAAUAAAUAGUGACACAAAUAUAAAAAAUAUAUAUAUUUAAAAAUAAAUAAAUAACAAUUUAGAGAAUUUCAUAACUUAGUAUCAAACCUAUUGUAGGAAAGAGUAUUAUACAAUGUAGGGUUUAGGAUCAAAGUUAACCUAAGAUCAAUUUUAAGUUUUAAGACCAAUUCAAAUUCAAAACUAAGGUUUUAAGUUUCAAAAAUAUAUCUCUUAAACCAAUUAAAUAGAAAAAAGAAAAUUACAAAGAAAAUUUCUUCCUCAUCGGUUUCUUUUAUCUUGAAAACUAAAGGAAAUAUAUAUCAAUAUUUGAGAUGGAAAUUCAUAAUCUUAGAAACACAAAGAACAAAGAGAGUAUGAAGAGACCAUACCAUGAGAGAUUUUCCAAAAGGUUGGUAAACCAUGGUAAUCACCUUUGAGUUUUGCUGAGAAAAACAAACCUUAAUUUUUAUUUUUAUUUUUUUAUCAUUUUUUCUCUUGUGGUGUACAUUUAAGAAAAACAAAUCUUAAAAAAAAAAAAAAAAAAACCAAAUAAUGCCAGAAUUUGGGUUGAGAAACACCCAAAAGAUAGUGGCCCAAUACAUGUGCCUAAGAAAAUCUUCAUGAGCCGAUAAACAUAGUCACAAAACUAGUAACAGCCUUGUAGCCAUAGUUGGUGUAGUAUGAGCAAGUGGGGUAUGAAGUAGGUAGGUGAGUAUUGCAAUGAAAUUUCCAGCACUGCUUCCUGAAUUAAGAAAUCACAUACCCAAGUCUUAGUCGUCGUCGUCGUACCGUGUGAGAACCGGGAAGAAUCUUUGCUCGUAGAGUGGCUUUUGUAGUCUUUCUUUAACAAUUACAAGUUAUCUGAAUUCCCUUCAUCCUCCUAUAUAAUAUUGUUUUUGGUCUUGUUCUUGUUGCAUUGUGGCUAGGCAUCUCCAUGGAAGGAAGGAGGAUGAAUCAAGUUCCUUUGUAUGAAUCAAUUUCUCUGCUCUUUUUCUUUUCAAUCCGUGAAUCGAAUCAUUGCUUAGUUCUUGCUUUAAUUUCUCCAUUUUCUGUUGGGUCUUUGACUGCAGGUUUAGCUCUGCAAGAGAACUGGGAAAUUUAAUGGUGACCUCCAAUCUAAUCGACUCUGCUUUGACUAAAAUUCUUGAGCUUCAAAGAGACCAAACAGCCUUGCUUUCCUCCGUUCAAUACAGAGUUUUUUAUCCAUCUCCCAAGUGCACAAUUGUAGCUUUUGUCUCUUCACCUGACUGCACUCAAAACCCUCUUCCUGGACAAGGAGAUUUAGUUCCGUCUCCUCUCUUUGACUUCCUCUGCACCGAAGAAUACAAGUCCGUCUCCAUUAACAGAGCUGCAUUAACCCUCUUUACCUCUUUCCACGAUCAUCUCUCUGGACUAAAAACUCAGGUCAAAAUAUGAUAGUUGUUUUUAUUUUCGUUUCCUUUUUGUUAACAAUUGUGAGACAUGAAACAGCUUGACCAUGAGAUCUCUCUCAUAGAGUCAAACUACCUGAAGAAGAAGAAGACGUUACACAUAUCCAUCUGCGUUGCAUCAUCGCAUUACCCAUUGAUCGGUUGUGAUUCAACUCUUAAUAGGAAGACAGUAGAACUGGUGUUGGUAUCUGUUUUUAGAUCAGCUUAUAUGUAUCUUGUUUCUAAAAAAGGUAAGUUUAGAAGUGAGAUUAAUGGGAUUAUUCUGACAUGGAUUCCAUAUGGUUACCUGUUUUGCAGUUGACUCAGAUUGAAGGUCAAUUAAUCAUCACUGGGCACUCCCUGGGAGGAUCCGUUGCUUCUCUCUUCACCUUAUGCCUGCUAGAUGGAAAUUUAUUAAAACCCAACUGCCGCCCCUUUUGUAUCACCUUUGGUUCACCCCUCAUCGGCGGCUUUGGCCUCCAACACUCCAUAUGGAAUUCUUUCUUCCUGCAUGUAGUGUCUAACCAAGACCCAGUCCCCGGUCUCUUCCUCCCAUCUGGCAGAGGCAGAUCUACGCCCACAUCCUCCCAUUCACAAACUACCGGUUACAAGCCCUUUGGGACAUAUCUCUUGUGCUCUGAACUUGGUUGUGCUUGUUUGGAAAAGCCUGAUUUAAUUUUGGGAUUGCUGAAAGUCAGAUCAUCCGAGGUUGCCGGAGGAUUGCAGGAUGUUGAUUAUGGGGAGAUUUUAAGAAACCUCAAGGAGAGGGCAAUCUGCAAGGGACUUCAGCAGGUGGGUGAAAGGUUUGCAGAUCCUUUUACAGCUGGGAUCAUCAUGGACCUUGAGAUAAUUGGAUUUGAUCAAACAAAGGUAAACAGCUAGCUUUCUCCCAUCUAAUGAUGUUAUGAAACAUGGUUUACACUUCACCAAAUACUGCAACAACUGCCCUAUUUAGAUUUGCCGUCUUGUUCUUUGGGAUCUUCCAUAACUAGACUCAUUUUUUAAUUUCAUGGCAGCUGCUGCAGCAUAACAUUGAUAUCGAGACUGUGAUAAGCACAAUGGAAGAGGAAGCCAGAAACCCAACCAAAAAAAAUAAAGCUUUCGAUGCCAAGAUUCUGAAUCACAAAAAAAAAGACAUGGCCGGGCUAGAAUGGUAUAAGAAGAAAUCAAAAGAUCUGAACAAGGGUUACUACGACUGCUUCAAAAACCAGGGGUCAAAAAGGGACAUUAAAAUUGAACAGUAUGGGGGACACCUCACAUUAUACUGGAAAGACAUGGUUGCACAAGUACAGAGGAAGCCCCAGAAGGAAGGAGCAACAUUUCGAACCCGUUGGCUCUAUGCAGGGACGGUUUAUAGAAGAAUGGUUGAACCACUGGACAUUGCUGCCUUCUACGUAGAGGGUGGAACAGACUACAUGAAGAAUGAAAGAUCUCUUCAUUACAAGCUGUUGCAGCAAUGGUAUGAGGAAGAUGUGAAACCCCCCUCUAAGGAUAAGCUUGAUUCCAAGAAGCAAAAGGUGUCUGGUAUCCUAACUGAGGAUUCUUGCUUUUGGGCACAUGUGGAGGAGGCUAUCUUGUCAUGCGAAUUGCUUAAGAGUGAAAACUGUACUCUUGAGCAGGAAAAAUCAUCAUGGGAUAAUCUGGUUAAGUUCGAGGAGUAUGUAAUGGAACAGAUUAACAACUAUGCAGUGUCCCCUGAGAUUUUCUUGGGGGAAAGCAGCUUCAUGAAAUGGUGGGGACUGUAUGAGGGCUACAUAUAUGCUCGCAGUAAUUCCCAUAGGUCACCAUUGAUCAGCUUUAUGAAGAACGGUAGUUAUACAGAGUAUCGUUAGAGGGGUAAUCCAGUUUGUGUGUUGUGUGUAUUGUUUUGUGAGCAUUCAAUGGAUAGAACUAGAAAGAGUGUGACCUUUUUCCUUUUUUUCUUCUAGUUGCUGCCCAUAUUCUCAGCACUAUUUUCUUCCUUCUUUUCCUCAGUUUUUUCUUAAGAAAUGAAUAUUAUGAUGUUGCUGGGAUGCACUUUCAUUUUUGUUCCAUUACAUUGUGUUUUAUUCAUAUCCUAAACAAAUAAAUGUAAACAAGAAAAUCAAAUAAGACUUCAAAGAGUCUGUUCCUUUUAAAGCAAGGGAAAAAAAGGACAUGUUUGUUUACUUCCACAGCUGGGUAGAUUCAACUCCACCAAAAUUGGCAACAACUUCCCAUUGAAAAAUUCCUUCUAAGCUUGAAUGACAUAAAACUAGAUAUGUUCCAGCUAGAAUGGUACAAAAAAGAAAUCAAAAGAUGAGCACAAUGGGUUAUUAUGACAGCUUUAGAAACCAUCUUACAACACAUCCAUCAGAAUUUAGACUAUUCAUAGAAACAUUCUUAACAUGUAAAUCUACUAUUGCCAUGCACGUCAACAUAGAAUUUCUAAAAUGAUUGAAUAAAAUAAAUAAAACAAAAGAAACCCUUCCAAGAGAAUUUCAUAAUCUAAUGUCAAAUCUAUUACGAAGAUGAACAUGUAAAAUUUAAGGUUUAUAAUCAAAGUCGACUUGAAUCUGAGUUUUAAAACCAAUUUGCAGUUUUUAAGUUUGGAGACUAGAUCUCUUAAACCAAUUAAAUGUAAAAAACUAAAAAGAAAACUUCUUCAAAUUUUGAAAUGAGAAUGAGAAUGCAAUUCCUAACUAGUUUCUUCAUCAAAAAUCCCGAAAAAAAAAAAAAAAGAAGAGAGAGAGAGACCAUAGACGCCAGUGUUUGGGUUUAGAACCACCCAAGAGAGAGUAGUCCAAUAUAUGGGCUUAAGAAAAUCCUCAUGGGCCUAAGCUAAGACUAGGAACAAUCUUGUAUCCGUGGUUGGUUUAGUAUGAGCAUGUGUACUGCGAAGGAAGUAGCUGAGAAUUGCAAUGGAAUUUCCAGUACUGCUUCCUGAACGAACAAAUCGCAUACCCAAGAUUUGGUCGUCAACGCCAUGCUGGGUGAGAACCGGGGAAGCAUCUUCGCUCGUUGACGAGCUUUUGUAGUCCUUCUUUAACAAUUAUAAGGCAUCUGAAUUCCCUUCAUCCUCCCACACCAUUGUUUUUGGUCUUGUUCUUGUUGCUUUGUGACUACGCAUCUCCAUGGAAGGAAGGAGGAUGAACCAAGUUCCUUUGUAUGCAUCAAUUUUACUGUUUUUUUUUUCCUUUUUAAUCUUUGGAUCGAAUCAUUGCUUAGUUCUUGCUUAAUUUCUCCAUUUUAUGUUGGGUCUUUGAUUGCAGGUUUAGCUCUGCGCGAGAACUGGGAAAUUUAAUUGUGACCUCCAAUCUAAUCGACUCUGCUUUGACUAAAAUUCUUGAGCUUCAAAGAGACCAAACAGCCUUGCCUUCCCCCGUUCAAUACAGAGUUUUUUAUCCAUCUCCCAAGUGCACAAUUGUAGCUUUUGUCUCUUCACCUGACUGCACUCAAAACCCUCUUCCUGGACAAGGAGAUUUAGUUCCCUCUCCUCUCUUUGACUUCCUCUGCACCGAAGAAUACCCUUCCGUCUCCAUUAACGGAGCCGCAUUAACCCUCUUUACCUCUCUCUACGAUCAUCUCUCUGGACUAAUAGAUGAGGUCAAAAUCUGAUACUUGUUUUAAUUUACGUUAACUUUUCGUUAACAAUUGUGAGACACGUAUAUAUAUAUAUAUAUAUAUAUAUCUUGUGGAUAAAAGGAAAGUUUACAAGUGAGAAUAGUGGCAUUUUUCUGACAGAUUUCACACCGUUGCUUGUUUUGCACUUGACUGUGAUUGAAGGUCGAUUAAUCAUCACUGGGCACUCGAUGGGAGGAUCCGUUGCUUCUCUCUUCACCUUAUGCCUGCUAGAAGUCAUUAAUAUAUCAAAACCCAAAUGCCGCCCCAUUUGCAUCACAUUUGGUUCACCCCUCAUAGGCGACUUUGGCUUCCAACACUCCAAUUGGAAUUCUUUCUUCUUGCAUGUAGUGUCCAACCAAGAUCUAGUCCCCGGACUCUUCCUCCCAUCCGGCAGAUCUCCUCCCACAUCCUCCCAUUCACAAACUACUGGUUACAAGCCCUUUGGGACAUAUCUCUUGUGCUCUGAACUUGGUUGUGCUUGUUUUGACAACCCUGAUUUAAUUUUGGAAUUGCUGAAAGUCAUAUCAUCAGAGGUUGCCGGAGGAUUGCGGGAUGUUGAUUACAGGAAGAUUUUAAUAAACCUCAAGGAGAGGGCAAUCUUCAAGGGACUUCAGCAGGUGGGUGAAAGGUUUGCAGAUCCCUUGUCAGCUGGGAUCAUCAUGGACCUUGAGAUAAUUGGAUUUGAUCAAACAAAGGUAAACAGCUUUCUCCCAAUUAAUGAUGUAGCAUGGUUUACACUCAACUUCACCAAAACCUGCAACAACUGCCCUAUUUAGAUUUGCCUUCCGGUUCUUUGGGUUCUUCUAUAACUUCUCAUUUUUUAAAUCCAUGGCAGCUGUUGCGGCACAACAUUGAUAUCAACACUGUGAUAAGGAUACUGGGAGCGGAAGCCAGAAUCCUAGCCCACAAAAAUAAAGCUUCUGAUGCCAAGAAACUGAAUGACAUAAAAAUACACAUGGCCCAGCUAGAAUGGUAUAAGAAGAAAUCAAAAGAUCUGAACAAGGGUUACUACGACUGCUUCAAAAACCAGGGGUUAAAAAGGGACAUUAAAAUUGAACAGUAUAGGGGACACCUCACAAUAUACUGGAAAGACAUGGUUGCACAAGUACAGAGGAAGCCCCAGAAGGAAGGAGCAUCAUUUCGAACCAGUUGGCUCUAUCCAGGGACAACUUAUAGAAGAAUGGUUGAACCACUGGACAUUGCUGCCUUCUACAGAGAGGGUAGAACAGACUACAUAAACAAUGGAAGAUCUCCUCAUUACAAGCUGUUGCAGCAAUGGUAUGAGGAAGAUGUGAAGCCCCCAUCCAGAGAUAAGCUCGAUUCCAAGAAACUAAAGGUGUCUGGUAUCCUAACUGAGGAUUCUUUGUUUUGGGCACAUGUGGAGGAGGCUCUCUUGUCAUGCGAAUCGCUCAAGAGUGCAAACUCUACUCUUGAGCAGAGAAAAUCAUCAUGGGAUAAUCUGGUUAAGUUUGGGGAGUAUGUAAUGGAACAGAUUGGAAACUAUGCAGUGUCCCCUGAGAUUUUCUUGGGGGAAAGCAGCUUCAUGAAAUGGUGGGGAGUGUAUGAGGACUACAUAGAUGCUUCCAAUAAUUUCUAUGGGUCACCAUUGAUCAACUUUAUGAAGGACCGUAGUUAUAGACUGUAUGGUUAGAGGGCAAUCCAGUUUGUGUAUUGUGUUUAUUGUAUUGUGAGCAUUCAAUAGAUAAAACUAGAAAGAGCGUGACCUUUUUAUGACAACUUUAGAAACCAGGGGUUAAAAGAGACAUUACAAAUUGAAUUUUUUGAGAGGAAACCUCAAGAGUAUACUGGGAAGCCAUGGUGGAACAAGUAGAGAGGAAGCUUCGGAAGGAAGGAUCAAUGGUUGAACCACUUGACAUUGUUGCCUACUUCAGGGAGGGUGUAAGAAACAACAUAACCGAGGGAAGAUCUGAACAUUAAACAUUGUACAAUUAUUGUAAAUGUCUUAUACAUUACGUGUGAAAAUACCAAAAAAAAUUAUAUUCAACAUUUAUGUUUGUAUACAAGCAAUAUUUUGGAUAGUUUGAUAUAAAAAACAAAUGAAGAAAACGAAGAAAAACAUACAAAUAUAUUUACAAUGGACAAACUUAUACAAUUAGUGUAAAUGUCUUGUAUAUUUAGUACAAAAGUCUCGUACUUUGUAAAAAUAUAAAAAUAUAGUAUUUGACUUUUAUAUAUGUGUGAAAAUGUAAAAGGAAAAAGAAAAAUAGUUAGAGCAUUUGGUACCGUGAGUGAUGACUUCACCUAAAGAAAGGUUAAUGAAUAUUAUGGUCUCGAUGGAAGAGCGACUCCGGUAAAAUAUAUGGAUUAAAUUGAUGCUUUUCUUUUGACGAUGAAGUAGUUGAGUUAUGAAUACGAGGUUUUGCUAACAACAUUGAAGGCAAGGAUUCCCUAAUAUACUCCAAUUCAUAUUCAAUUUGUAGACCUUCAACUAACUACUCUUGCUAAUGAGCAUAUCCAAGUGAAUACAUAAGAUUAAUUAUUACAUAUGAUAAUUGAAACCCUGUUUAAAUAAAUAGUGACACAAAUAUAAAAAAUAUAUAUAUUUAAAAAUAAAUAAAUAAUAAUUUAGAGAAUUUCAUAACUUAGCAUCAAACCUAUUGUAGGAAAGAGUAUUAUACAAUGUAGGGUUUAGGAUCAAAGUUAACCUAAGAUCAAAUUUAAGUCUUAAGACCAAUUCACAUUCAAAACUAAGGUUUUAAAUUUCAAAAAUAUAUCUCUUAAACCAAUUAAAUGGAAAAAAGAAAAUUACAAAGAAAAUUUCUUCCUCAUCGGUUUCUUUUAUCUUGAAAACUAAAGGAAAUAUAUAUCAAUAUUUGAGAUGGAAAUUCAUAAUCUUAGAAACACAAAGAACAAAGAGAGUAUGAAGAGACCAUACCAUGAGAGAUUUUCCAAAAGGUUGGUAAACCAUGGUAAUCACCUUUGAGUUUUGCUGAGAAAAACAAACCUUAAUUUUUAUUUUUAUUUUUUUAUCAUUUUUUCUCUUGUGGUGUACAUUUAAGAAAAACAAAUCUUAAAAAAAAAAAAAAAAAAACCAAAUAAUGCCAGAAUUUGGGUUGAGAAACACCCAAAAGAUAGUGGCCCAAUACAUGUGCCUAAGAAAAUCUUCAUGAGCCGAUAAACAUAGUCACAAAACUAGGAACAGCCUUGUAGCCAUAGUUGGUGUAGUAUGAGCAAGUGGGGUAUGAAGUAGGUAGGUGAGUAUUGCAAUGAAAUUUCCAGCACUGCUUCCUGAAUUAAGAAAUCACAUACUCAAGUCUUAAUCGUUGUCAUCAUACCGUGUGAGAACCGAGGAAGAAUCUUUGCUCUUAGACUGGAUUUUGUAGUCUUUCUUUAACAAUUACAAGUUAUCUGAAUUCCCUUCAUCCUCCUAUAUAAUAUUGUUUUUGGUCUUGUUCUUGUUGCAUUGUGGCUAGGCAUCUCCAUGGGAGGAAGGAGGAUGAAUCAAGUUCCUUUGUAUGAAUCAAUUUCUCUGCUCUUUUUUUUUUCAAUCCUUGAAUCGAAUCAUUGCUUAGUUCUUGCUUUAAUUUCUCCAUUUUCUGUUGGGUCUUUGAUUGCAGGUUUAGCUCUGCAAGAAAACUGGGAAAUUUAAUUGUGACCUCCAAUCUAAUCGACUCUGCUUUGACUAAAAUUCUUGAGCUUCAAAGAGACCAAACAGCCUUGCCUUCCCCCGUUCAAUACAGAGUUUUUUAUCCAUCUCCCAAGUGCACAAUUGUAGCUUUUGUCUCUUCACCUGACUGCACUCAAAACCCUCUUCCUGGACAAGGAGAUUUAGUUCCCUCUCCUCUCUUUGACUUCCUCUGCACCGAAGAAUACAAGUCCGUCUCCAUUAACAGAGCUGCAUUAACCCUCUUUACCUCUCUCCACGAUCAUCUCUCUGGACUAAAAACUCAGGUCAAAAUAUGAUAGUUGUUUUUAUUUUCGUUUCCUUUUUGUUAACAAUUGUGAGACAUGAAACAGCUUGACCAUGAGAUCUCUCUCAUAGAGUCAAACUACCUGAAGAAGAAGAAGACGUUACACAUAUCCAUCUGCGCUGCAUCAUCGCAUUACCCAUUGAUCGGUUGUGAUUCAACUCUUAAUAGGAAGACAGUAGAACUGGUGUUGGUAUCUGUUUUUAGAUCAGCUUAUAUGUAUCUUGUUGCUAAAAAGGGAAAGUUUAGAAGUGAGAUUAAUGGGAUUAUUCUGACAUGGAUUUCAUAUGGUUAC
rnacentral:lncRNA from 1 species